AUGGGCCUUUCCUUCGGCAAGACUGCAACGUCACCCUGGCCGGACCUCCCGCCAGAGCUGGCCGCCAAAAUCCUCGCCCGGCUGCUCAGCCACACGGACCGCCUCAGCUUUGGUGCCGUGUGCCGCGGCUGGCGCCUCGCCGCGAGGCAGCACCGCUUGCUGCUGCCGCCGUCCAUGCCAUGGAUCAACAUCGGCAGCGGCGCGUACAUGGAUCUUGCCGGCAACGGCAAGGCUCGCCGUUUCGCCGCGCCCGAAGGGUACCGUGCAGGUGCCACCUCUGGCAGCUGGGUCCUCUACCAGCACGAGCGUUCCUCUCGGUUCUUCCUCGCCGACCCUUUGAACCCUUCUAUGCCGGCCAUCGAGGUCCCGUGCCGCUACGACCCGAGCGACGUCACUGGUGACGGCAGAGUGAGUAUGAGAUUCUGCCAAGACGACACUUUCCUGACAUGGCCCCUAAAAAAGAUGGUUGUGUGCUCACCUCAUCUCGUCGUCGCCACAUCCGCCUACAAUGGUCCACUCAAAAUUGCAUGCUUUCGGCCAAGCAAUGGAACGGUGGAUCCAGCGACGUUUAUCUGGUCGGAAGGAGAUUACUCGCACGGUCAUCAACACCAUGAUUGGCAUGAUGAUUGGGACUUCAUCUACGCGGAUAUAGCCUUCCACCAUGGGAAGGUCUUUGCUCUGAGCUUAACAGAGAAUCUCUUUGCCUUUGAUUUGGCCAUCGAAGAGAUGUCGCUAUCUCAAACUAGGAGUCGCGUCGAGCAUGCCAUCAAGGAAGGGCCAGCUGCAGCGGCAGGUGCCGCGGUAGAUUACCACAACCACCACCUGGUCACGUCUCCGGACAAACAAAAACUACUAAUGGUGCGGUGGCGAAUCCCUUUACGGGAAGAUCGGACCAAGUUUCAUCAUCGAAUGAUGGAUCUGCAGGUGUUCGAGGCGGACUUGCGGAAGGGCCGGUGGUCCGAGGUCAAGGACUUGGGUGGCCAGGCCCUUUUCGUUGGCCAAACUGGAUCGAGGGCGCUUGCGGUGGGUGGUUUGUCAGAUCAGAUGUUCCAAGGGAAUCGUGUGUUCCUUCUCGGCGAUGAUUGGGCAUAG
rnacentral:rRNA from 1 species